UCCCCGUUGACUCAGUGGGAAAGAAUCUGCCUGCAAUGCAGGAGACUCAGGUUUGAUCCCUGGGCUGGGAA
rnacentral:tRNA from 1 species